rnacentral:rRNA from 1 species
AAAGCCUGACGGAGCAAGACCGCGUGAGGGAGGAAGGCUCUUGGGUUGUAAACCUCUUUUCUUGGGGAAGAACAAAAUGACGGUACCCAAGGAAUCAGCAUCGGCUAACUCCGUGCCAGCAGCCGCGGUAAUACGGAGGAUGCAAGCGUUAUCCGGAAUUAUUGGGCGUAAAGCGUCCGCAGGUGGCCUUUCAAGUCUGCUGUCAAAGACCGGGGCUUAACCCUGGAAAGGCAGUGGAAACUGGGAAGCUAGAGUAUCGUAGGGGUAGAGGGAAUUCCUGGUGUAGCGGUGAAAUGCGUAGAGAUCAGGAAGAACAUCGGUGGCGAAAGCGCUCUACUGGACGAUAACUGACACUCAGGGACGAAAGCUAGGGGAGCGAAUGGGAUUAGAUACCCCAGUAGUCCUAGCCGUAAACGAUGGAUACUAGGUGUGGCUUGUAUCGACCCGAGCCGUGCCGUAGCUAACGCGUUAAGUAUCCCGCCUGGGGAGUACGCGCGCAAGCGUGAAACUCAAAGGAAUUGACGGGGGCCCGCACAAGCGGUGGAGUAUGUGGUUUAAUUCGAUGCAACGCGAAGAACCUUACCAGGGCUUGACAUGUCUGGAAUCUCCUUGAAAGGGGAGAGUGCCUUCGGGAGCCAGAACACAGGUGGUGCAUGGCUGUCGUCAGCUCGUGUCGUGAGAUGUUGGGUUAAGUCCCGCAACGAGCGCAACCCUCGUCUUUAGUUGCCAGCAUUAAGUUGGGCACUCUAGAGAGACUGCCGGUGACAAACCGGAGGAAGGUGGGGAUGACGUCAAGUCAGCAUGCCCCUUACGUCCUGGGCUACACACGUACUACAAUGCGACGGACAAAGGGCAGCCAACCAGCGAUGGUGCGCUAAUCCCAGAAACCGUGGCUCAGUUCAGAUCGCAGGCUGCAACUCGCCUGCGUGAAGGAGGAAUCGCUAGUAAUUGCAGGUCAGCAUACUGCAGUGAAUCCGUUCCUGGGCCUUGUACACACCGCCCGUCACACCAUGGAAGCUGGCCACGCCCGAAGUCGUUACCCUAACCUUUCGAGGAGGGGGACGCNGAAGGCAGGGCUGGUGACUGGGGUGAAGUCGUAACAAGGUAACC